GUCGGGCGACCGGUGAAAUAUUUUGACCAAUUUUAUAUAUCGGUCUGAUCGUUGACUCAAGGUGAAUUGGUUAAGAUAUUGCAUCGUUUGCUCGAUC